rnacentral:rRNA from 1 species
AGUCAAGUAAUUAAGUGCAUGUGGUGGAUGCCUUGGCAGUCAGAGGCGAUGAAAGACGUGAUAGCCUGCGAAAAGCUCCGGGGAGGCGGCAAAUAUCCUUUGAUCCGGAGAUGUCUGAAUGGGGGAACCCACCUACUUUAAGGUAGGUAUUGCAACAUGAAUACAUAGUGUUGCAAGGCGAACGAGGGGAAGUGAAACAUCUCAGUACCCUUAGGAAAAGAAAUCAAUUGAGAUUCCCUCAGUAGCGGCGAGCGAACGGGGAUCAGCCCAUUAAGUUAUGUGUGUUUUAGUGGAACGCUCUGGGAAGUGCGAACGUAGAGGGUGAUAUUCCCGUACACGAAAGGGCACACAUAAUGAUGACGAGUAGGGCGAGGCACGUGAAACCUUGUCUGAAUAUGGGGGGACCAUCCUCCAAGGCUAAAUACUCCUGACUGACCGAUAGUGAACCAGUACCGUGAGGGAAAGGCGAAAAGAACCCCUGUGAGGGGAGUGAAAUAGAUCCUGAAACCGCAUGCAUACAAGCAGUGGGAGCACCUUCGUGGUGUGACUGCGUACCUUUUGUAUAAUGGGUCAGCGACUUAUAUUCAGUAGCGAGGUUAACCGUAUAGGGGAGCCGUAGAGAAAUCGAGUCUUAAUAGGGCGUUUAGUUGCUGGGUAUAGACCCGAAACCAGGCGAUCUAUCCAUGAGCAGGUUGAAGGUUGGGUAACACUAACUGGAGGACCGAACCCACUGUCGUUGAAAAGCCAGGGGAUGACUUGUGGAUAGGGGUGAAAGGCUAAUCAAGCCUGGUGAUAGCUGGUUCUCCCCGAAAGCUAUUUAGGUAGCGCCUCGGACGAAUACCAUAGGGGGUAGAGCACUGUUUCGGCUAGGGGGUCAUCCCGACUUACCAAACCGAUGCAAACUCCGAAUACCUAUGAGUACUAUCCGGGAGACAGACUGCGGGUGCUAACGUCCGUAGUCAAGAGGAAAACAAUCCAGACCGCCAGCUAAGGCCCCAAAAUCAUAGUUAAGUGGGAAACGAUGUGGGAAGGCAUAGACAGCUAGGAGGUUGGCUUAGAAGCAGCCACCCUUUAAAGAAAGCGUAAUAGCUCACUAGUCGAGUCGGCCUGCGCGGAAGAUGUAACGGGGCUAAAACUAUGUGCCGAAGCUGCGGAUGUAUACUUUGUAUACGUGGUAGGGGAGCGUUCUGUAAGCCGAUGAAGGUGUGUUGAGAAGCAUGCUGGAGGUAUCAGAAGUGCGAAUGCUGACGUGAGUAACGACAAAACGGGUGAAAAACCCGUUCGCCGAAAGACCAAGGGUUCCAGUCCAACGUUAAUCGGGGCUGGGUGAGUCGACCCCUAAGGCGAGGCCGAAAGGCGUAGUCGAUGGGAAAAUGGUUAAUAUUCCAUUACUUCUGUGUAAUGCGAUGAGAGGACGGAGAAGGCUAAAUCAGCCUGGCG